rnacentral:lncRNA from 1 species
GAUCCUGAAGCCGGUCAAGUGCCACUGGACUUCAUUUACUGUCUUCUCUGCCUUCUACUGGCCUUAGGGGAAAAAAAAAGUGAGGUCAUAUUUGAUGUCCUUUUCUUUGGCUGGAAACCUGAACUGGUCUUUGGAAAUACAAGGUCUUAACAAGGAUGGUGUAUGCUUUGGACUUUGGCAUUUCCAUGAUGAGUUUAGGACUUUGGCUCCUUCCCAGACUGUACAUGCUGAGACCUUGGGGAACACGGCUUCCAGUCAAUGUGCCUGGAUCUCCUCUCUUCUCUUCUGCCUGUCCCUGCCAGCCCUCCUUCACUCCAGACUCCCUGUCAGCCCUCCCUCACCUCCAGACUCCCUGUCAGCCCUCCCUCACUUCCAGACCCAAAAGAAGGUCAGCUGCAAUAAGGACUGACUGACUUGGGAUGGGAAGGGCAAAACUGAAUUGAAGCAAGAGUUCUACUUCAGCAUCUGGUGCACAGAUUUAGUAACUUUAGUGAAAUUAAAAACCAAGACAAAACAAAUGCAGAGCCUAUAUUACAAGAUUUGUUAUAGGAUCCUUAAUUUAUCUGCUUGGCUUUUGAUGAAAUUGUUUUUUUUUUUUCUUGCACUGAAAUGUAUAAUGUCCUCUACUAGUUAAGCUCUGGAAUCUUUUCCAGUCAACUUCCUCCCUCUGGGAUGUAAUAAAGAGACAACUUAUGACCCAAAAGCAUGUGGGAGACAAAUUUUCCAUGGGAAAAAAAAAGGUUUUUACUAUAUGUUAUGUUUCUCAAAGGAAAGGGGGUCAAAACAUAGAUAACAAUCCUCUGUAACCACUUACUGAAUACCAGAUUUGUUUUGAGAAUAGUAAAAUGUAGUUUGUUAUUUUUGAAAAGAUGAGUAUUUUGUCACAGAUGUUUUAAUUUCUAUAACAUCCAUGUGUAAAUUAGAAUAAAGAAGAAAUUAAAAUUAGCUACUGUAUCUGCAUAUUCUAUUUCCUCCCCAAAAAAGGGUGAGCAAAGAGAUACAGAGUGUCAUAUAGGUGGAAGCAGACCUCGUCUGUCUGGGGGUCAGAUGACUGAAGACUUUUAUCCUUGACCCGCCACUUCCUAGUGUGACCUUGAGCUCAGCCUCACUCUCCUAAGAUGUGAAAUGGGAACAAUUAUACUCCCAAGAAUGUUUGUGAGAAAUAAAUAAUUUGUGCAAAAUACUUGGCUCUAGCACGAAUUCAACACAUGAUAGUUGAUAAUAUAACUCAACACAGGAUUGUCAAAGUUCUAAUAGUUUUAAUGGCAUUUGAUUACCUAAAGGAAAUGUGAUAUUAUUCAAAGUCUACAUUAGUAUUUAUAUAAAUCUCAUAAAGAUAAAUGUUCGGCAUUCAUCAAUGGAUGUCAUCGAGGAAGGCAAUAACAAUUCAAGACAAUUCAGAUUUAUAUUUAUCAGAAUUUGGACUAAUUAUUGAAAAUAGUUUGUGUUUAAGUUGGUCUUAUUAUGAUAUUAAAGCCAUCAUGUCAAGGAAACUAUUUUGUUUGGGUGAUAUUACUUAGAUACUAAACAAUUGGUCAGAUAAUGCCCUAAGUUUACUUCAGGAGUCAGAAAAUUCCAUUUAAAAAAUUGUUUAAAAGCAAAUUUGAGUUAUAGGGUAAAUAUAUUUAUGAGCUGUAAGUAUAAUAUGAAAACUUUAAAUAUUGCUACAUGUAAACUUCUUUGUCUCUUUAUAACUGAGCCAAUUUCUCUUUCCCAAAACUGCUAUGCUAGGAGGUAGAAAUGAGACCUCUAGCUAAUCUCAGCUGAUUUAGUCUUCUCCCGUGCCUACCCCCUAUACUUUUCUCACUGGGCUGGCAUCCACAUGGUAGGCAGGUGGCAUUUGCUGCUAAGCCACAGUCACCUCUCCUGCUGGCUCCCUCUGAGGUGGAAGUCAUUGUGGGAUCUGUGAUCAAACAUUUGAGGUGCAGGCCUGCUUCAGUUCUGCAGUCCCACAGAAGCAAACUAAGUGUCCAUCAAUGGAUGAAUGGAUAAAGAUGUGAUACGUAUACACAAUGGGAACCUGCUCAGCCACAGAAAAGAACAAAACAAUGCCAUUUGCGGCAAUACUGAUGGAUCUAGAGAUUAUCGUACUAAGUAAAGGAAGUCAGAAAGAGAAAGACAAAUAUCAUAUGAUGUCACUUAUAUGUGGAAUCCAAAAUAUGGUAUUAUUUACAAAACGGAAGCUGACUCACAGACAUAAAAAUCAAGCUUAUGGUUACCAAAGGGAAAAUGGGGUAGGGAAGGGAUAAAUUAGGAAUUUGGGACUAGCAGAUACACACUACUAUAUAUAAAAUAGAUAACAAGGUCCUACUAUAUAGCAAGGGAACUAUAUUCAAUAUUCUGUAAUAAACCAAAGCGGGAACUAAUAUGAAAAAGAAUUCUGAAUAUAUAUAUAUCAGAAUCACUUUGCUGUACACCAGAAACUAACACAGCAUUGUAAAUUAACUAUACUUAAAAAAAUUUUUUUUAAAAAUCUUCAGUCUCAGAGCUCGAGUUGUGGCUCAGCAGUUAAUGAAUCUGACUAGUAUCCACGAGGACGCAGGUUUGAUCCCUGGCCUUGCUCAGUGGGUUAAGGAUCUGGCGUUGCCAUGAGCUAUGGUGUAGGUCACAGACAUAGCUUGGAUCCAGCAUUGCUGUGGCUGUGGUGUAGGCUGGCAGCUGUAGCUCCCAUUAACC